AGCUUUACGCAGUGGCAGUAUUGUAGCCAAUGAGGUUUAUCUGAGGUGCGUUUAUUGCUUAUUGAGAACUUUUCCCAAUACCCCGCCAAGACUACUUGAAAUACAGUCGGCGUUGGCAAUUUUUGGCAGUCUUCUACAGGG
rnacentral:snRNA from 1 species